AAGGACUGGUGCCAGUGGACGGUGGUCCCCAACACGACUCUUGCCUGGCUAAGGAACUCGAGCCUCCACCUGGCCUCUCCUUCCGUCGGGCCCUCACGGGAUCACAGCACCAACAGCCGGGAAGGCAUCUUCGUGUACGUCGAGACCCAGAAGCUGGACCUGCACGAGGGAAGAGCCUGGCUGAGCAGCCCAGCGUUGGCCCCGGACCCCAACCAUUCCUGCUAUCUGGUUCUCUACCUCUACCUGCAUGGCUCCGAC
rnacentral:lncRNA from 1 species